rnacentral:rRNA from 1 species
UUCCGUAGGUGAACCUGCGGAAGGAUCAUUACACUCAGUAGUUUACUACUGUAAAGGAGGCUGUUAGCCUGUAUAGCUUAAUCGCUGACGAGCAGCUGGUCUCUUUUCUCCACCCUUGUCUUUUGAGUACUUACGUUUCCUCGGCGGGCUUGCCUGCCGAAUGGACAAUUCUAUAACCUUUUUAAUCUUCAAUCAGCGUCUGACAAAAAGCAAUGAUUACAACUUUCAACAACGGAUCUCUUGGUUCUGGCAUCGAUGAAGAACGCAGCGAAAUGCGAUAAGUAGUGUGAAUUGCAGAAUUCAGUGAAUCAUCGAAUCUUUGAACGCACAUUGCGCCCCUUGGUAUUCCAUGGGGCAUGCCUGUUCGAGCGUCAUUUGUACCCUCAAGCAUUGCUUGGUGUUGGGUGUUUGUCCACUCCCUGUUGUUUGGACUCGCCUUAAAACAAUUGGCAGCCAGUGUUUUGGUAUUGAAGCGCAGCACAAUUUGCGGUUCUGGCCUAGUUACACUGGUGUCCAUAAGCCUUUUUCACGUUUGACCUCGGAUCAGGUAGGGAUACCCGCUGAACUUAA